AGGAUGAACGCUGGCGGCGUGCCUAAUACAUGCAAGUCGAGCGGUAAGGUCCCUUCGGGGAUACACGAGCGGCGGACGGCUGAGUAACGCGUAGGAACGUACCCCAAAGUGAGGGAUAAGCUCUGGAAACAGAGUCUAAUACCGCAUGUGGUCCAAGGAUUAAAGCUUCGGCGCUUUGGGAACGGCCUGCGUCCGAUUAGCUAGUUGGUGAGGUAAAGGCUUACCAAGGCGACGAUCGGUAGCUGGUCUGAGAGGAUGAUCAGCCAGACUGGGACUGAGACACGGCCCAGACUCCUACGGGAGGCAGCAGUAGGGAAUUUUCCACAAUGGGCGAAAGCCUGAUGGAGCAACGCCGCGUGCAGGAUGAAGGCCUUAGGGUUGUAAACUGCUUUUAUAUGUGACGAUUAUGACGGUAGCAUAUGAAUAAGGAUCGGCUAACUCCGUGCCAGCAGCCGC
rnacentral:rRNA from 1 species